rnacentral:rRNA from 1 species
GCUUUUGUACACACCGCCCGUCGCUACUACCGAUUGAAUGAUUUAGUGAGGUCUUUGGACUGGUGCGCGGCAUCGACUCUGUCGUUGCCGAUGCUACCGGAAAGAUGACCAAACUUGAUCAUUUAGAGGAAGUAAAGGUCAUAACAAGGUUUCCGUAGGUGAACCUGCGGAAGGAUCAUUA